GUCUGCAAAAAGCUCGAAGUGAACAGAACUCAAGUAAAUUUCUUAACUUGAAAUUUGAUUCUCAACAAGAGAACUUGUGAUUAUCUUGGAAAUGAAAUGCUGUACAUUUUUCUAAACGGGAAAGUCAAGAUUCUUUCCAGUCUGGAACCAACACCACUCCAGCCUUAUCUCCCCGUGACGGCAGUACUGCUGAUCCUCCCAGCUAGAUGGAGGGUCUCACCUCUCCGACUGUGUCGUGCACUUAAGGCUCCGUGCUACGUGCCCUUUAUGGCAUAUGUCCUCUGAGUUGUGGCCCCCAAAUAUUUCUACCCAGAAUCUCAGAAUGCCACCUGCUUUGGAAUAAGGUUCUUUGGAGAUGUAAUUAAACAAAGGUUCUUGAGGUCUUCCUGGAUUAGGCUGGGCCCUAAAUCCACAGGUGGGUGUCCCAGAAGAGACAGAAAACACAGAAAUCCAACAGAAGGAGAAGGCCGUCUGAAGAUGGAGGCAGAGAUUGAAAUAAUGCGUUUACAAGCCAAGGAUCCCCAAGGAUUGCCGGUAGCCAUCAGAAGCUAGGAGGGAAAGAAUUCUCUCUCAGAGCCUCCAGAAGGAACCAACCCUACCAAUAUCUUGAUUUUAGAUUGCUGGCUUUCAGAAUUGUGAAAAAAUGAAUUUCCAUUGUUUCAAGCCACCAAGUUUGUGGUAAUGUGUUAUGUAUGGCAACCCUGGGAAACUAAAACAUCCUCCCACACCUUGGGAUGCCCGCUCUUUCUCCCAUGAGGCAAAUGCCUUCCUCAAGACCCAUCUCAAAUGUCUUAAUUCAUGGCAGAGGAAUAAGAGUUUACAGAUGGAGAGCCAGACACCUGAAGAUUGCAGACUUGCCCUGACUAUCCAACUGUUAAGACAGAGCAGGAUCCCGGAGACGGAGGAGACAAGAGUCUGCACAGGACUUCCUGGUCUUGGAUCAGGAUCUGCUCGUAUGCGCUGCUUCCACAGCCUGCCUGUUCUGGUUCUAAAGCAGCUGUCUGAUAGAAAUAUUAU
rnacentral:lncRNA from 1 species